UACGUAGGGCGCAAGCGUUGUCCGGAAUUAUUGGGCGUAAAGAGCUCGUAGGCGGUCUGUCGCGUCGGCUGUGAAAGCCCCGGGCCUAACCUGGGAACUGCAUUUGAUACUCUAGAGCUUGAGUACGGGAGAGGAGAGUGGAAUUCCCAGUGUAGAGGUGAAAUUCGUAGAUAUUGGGAAGAACACCGGUGGCGAAGGCGGCUCUCUGGACCGUAACUGACGCUGAGGCGCGAAAGCGUGGGGAGCAAACAGG
rnacentral:rRNA from 1 species